rnacentral:lncRNA from 1 species
UGACAGUGACAUACUUCUAAUUUGUCAAUGAAUAUUUAGCCAACCAAUUUAAGUUAAACAAAAAAGAAAUAAUACUGAUAAAAGAGGCAAUAGUAACUUGCUGCUCAUAUAUGUUUCCUUCCAGGUUUUCUAAAAAUUGCACUGAAUCAAGCUUCAUUUUUAUUCUUCAGCCAUAUCCCUGACUCCUCAGGAGAACUGAGGUUUUUUUUUUCCCCAAAUGAAAACUUUUGAGUUUCUAAAGCUCAAAAAUGCAAAAUCUGACGCACAUGGUUAAAUGAGAUGUGGUUAUCAACUUACACCAAGCCUAACUUACCACAAAAUAGAAAAUAUCAGAGAAAGGAGUUCACAAGCAGAAAACCUCUGCUUUCUAACUCACAAUAGAGUCUUGUCCAAUAUUAGACAACACUGCGUUUUGUUGUUGUUUUAGCUACAAGGAAGGGUAUGCAAUAUGCAGUAACUAUUCCAACAGCUUCAAGCAAGUCAUCUGCUACGACUAGAAAAAGUAGCAAUUAGGUCCCAAACAGCAAAGACAUAAAAAAGAUGUAAGCAGAAGCCUCACCAUCUGAAAAGAAGGCCCAUCAGCACCUCUUCCGAGAAAUACUUCCCUUCCCCCACCUUUAAGUAGGCACUUGAGACUGCCAAGAUCCAUUUCUUUAUUAACUGGUGCCCACUUGGGGCAACUGUACACCAAGCUGCUCUUAGGCCUACUCUAAUCCCUUCCAAAAGUGCUCAAAUGAGGCUACGGCCGGGGUAAGUCCCGUCAGGGCCCAAUUCUUCCUGACUCCUCUUCUCCACCCCACCUCCUCCGCCCCGCCCCAGUAGGCGAUCGCCCGGCCAGAGAAAGGACACCCGGCCCAGGGACUGGCAGAAAUUGCCCGCAAGAGAAGGCUUAGGCGACCGAAGGCCUCCGCCAUAGCAGGACUUGGGAAGCACCGCCCCCAGCGCACCUCCCCACACCCGGCUAAUCGGCGAACCUCUGCUUUCGACACCCUCUAUCCCCAGCAGAGGCAGCGGAGAAGACAAGGCCGGGAGGCACCGGGCUAGGCUGCGCACCAGGCCCAGGCCUGUCCCUCGGGACCGCGCGUGCCGCCUGAAUCCGCUCCCCCGUCGGGCCCGGUCCAGCUGGCGCGGCGGCCACCCUCACCUGGAUGACCUCGUUGACCUCCCGGAUACAUUCCACCAUGUGUUGUAGAAUCUGCUCGGCCGUGAGCACCUCGUAGCGGUAAUCCUCCUCCUGCUCAUGCC